GACUUUGAAAACAAUCAAGCACACAAUGAAAGCAAAUGGAAAUAAAUAUGGGAAAAUGGGCGAUUCAGUUGUUGUGCAGUUGCAGUUGAAGCUUUUCAGGGGAUUUUUUUUAUUAUUAUUAUUGUUAUUC
rnacentral:ribozyme from 1 species